rnacentral:rRNA from 1 species
CCCUUAACGAGGAACAAUUGGAGGGCAAGNCUGGUGCCAGCNNNCGCGGUAAUUCCAGCUCCAAUAGCGUAUAUUAAAGUNNUUGCAGUUAAAAAGCUNNUAGUUGAACUUCGGGGGUUACCCAUUGGUCAGGCUUAAUUGACUGUACUGGUGAGAUAAAUCUCUACCUUCUGAGGAACUCUCAUGCCACUUAUUUGGUGUGGUUGGAAAUCAGGACUGUUACUUUGAAAAAAUUAGAGUGUUUAAAGCAGGCUAACGUCUGAAUACAUUAGCAUGGAAUAAUGAAAUAGGACGGACUGAUUCUAUUUCGUUGGUUUCUAGGAUCACCGUAAUGAUUAAUAGGGAUAGUUGGGGGCAUUAGUAUUCAAUUGUCAGAGGUGAAAUUCUUGGAUUUAUUGAAGACUAACUACUGCGAAAGCAUUUGCCAAGGAUGUUUUCAUUAAUCAAGAACGAAAGUUAGGGGAUCGAAGACGAUCAGAUACCGUCGUAGUCUUAACCAUAAACUAUGCCGACUAGGGAUCGGACGAAGUUAAUUUUAUAAUGACGCGUUCG